UGGGCUUCUGUACUUUGUAGAGUUUCUAGUUGCCUUUUGUAUAUGCAUGCACACUUUUCGUAUGUAUAUGUAUAUAUGCACACACAAAAUACAUACAUUGCCCAAGUUCUAAGCUAUACUAUUUAUUCUAAAAACACCUCUUUCCCAGGGUUCUGACCUUUGUCAGAAAGUCCUCAAUCUUGUGUUCCAAUAUGCACAUCCUGCUCUUGCCAGCUACACACUGUGGAGUGUUGUGACUUAUGUGACUGCUAUUGCAGGACUUGAUCCAUUACUGUUUGGGCUUAUGUUCCCUCUUUCUGAUGGAGGAUAACCACCUGUAUUUGCUUUCACACAGGAACUUCUCUGGAUUCAGGUCAAUCUUAGAACUGUGAAGGGACAGCUUCCUUGCCUCUCAGAGUCUACUGUGGCCUAGUGACCUGAUGUCACUCUGACAUGCGUUACACUUAGGAAUGUUCUUCACAGUUGUCUUGCUUUCCUGCUGCUGCCAUGCCAGUUGUGUUCUUUGUGUCUGCUGACCAUCAAAGUUUAUGCCUCUUCUGAGCACAUCUUCACUUGAUUUAUUUUUCCUCCAAUGAAACUCCCCAAAGCCUUGUUUGUGAAAAUCCUAGAAAUUUUUGCUUUGGCUUCUUGUUACAACCCCAGGGAUUACAAUGGUCUGGAAGAGUAGUUUUUGUUCCCCUUUCACAGAAGAGUUGGUCUUUGAGACCACGCUUUGUGCAGCAGGCUCAGUUCCAGCUACCUAGAGUCCCAAAGCUGAGCCUUCUUCAGGCCCUCAGCUGACAUCUUAUCUUUUACUGGUCACUAUGGCCUCUUGUUCUCCUAUUAGCUACUUAUUAUAUAGUAGCCAUAGUAUAAUUAGCUACUUAUUAUUUUUCUUGAACUCAGACUACUGCAAUAACUUUUGAUUUUUUUUUUAAAGGUACAGUCAUAUUAGGUAGCCUGGCUGGCAUGAAACUACUGCAACAAAUUUUUAGCAUUCCUUCUCGUCCCUGCAAACUCAUAUAUUACUGCAGCUAAAUAUUUCUAAAGUACACAAUGACACUAUUCCACUUUUUCAAAAUACCAAGCAUAAUGCUAUACAAAUAUGAAGAUGCUACAAUGAAACUUAUUACUUUGUAUGCUAACUUUAAAAUUUAAUAAAUAUGACUUGGCCACAACCUAA